UUUGCGAAAGUUGCUUAACUUCAACAAUCGCAGACCGAGCGCGUUUACCGCUGCGCCACCGAGCUCCUCAAAAAAAGGAUUUAUAGUAUUUUUUUAUUUUUUGUAGGUUCUCUAGACCUUCAAGUAGUGGCAAAAAGGUGUAGAGCUCAUUUAGCUUAGUUUAUCUAUCACAAAAAAUAUAAUUUCGAUCACCGCUACACUUUCGCCAUCUAUUGCUGCUGAGUGAGAGUCCCAACACCCUUAAUCUUUAGAAUUUUCAUGUUAGUAGGUUGAUGAAAAGAAAAAACAGUUGACUACCUUAUACAUAAUUAAUAGGCCGUUUCACUACCAUUCUUCCUUUGACGUCAUUAUGCGACAUGAUUAAUUCAGGGUAUAGUACCUCCGCUUUGUCCGUGGAAUUCCAUCAUACGACCACAAACUCUCCGGGCGUGGUGGUUAUUACGGCAAAAACAUUUUAAUAUCAAAUGCCAUUACGAGUCCUAUAAGCAAUGGCCUGCGCGUAAGUCUGCCAUGAUGUUAUGAAGCAUGAUCCUCAUAAAAGAUAAUUGAUUACCGCAAAAAAAUUAAUGCUCAAAAGAGAUUGAAGUAAAAGGAUUAAGUAUUAACAUAAUAGAACAAUGUAUGAACAGUUUAUGAGUAGAACUCUGAUCAUAAAUUAUUUUAAGUUUAAAUUCAAAAACACACGCGGUUUUACGCGGUUAUUAUCAUAAUUAAAACACAUAAAAACGGGUUCUUACCGAACCAUAUGGGAGUCUCAUAUCCCUACUUAUGUGAACCCGUUAUUGUGUUUUAAUUCUGAUCAUAAAUGUUACUUUACAAAAUGAUUUAUUUGCUUUCCAUUCAUGUUUAGGUUUGAAAAGAAAACUUGUACAGUCCCAUAUCAUCACCUUAUACUUAGCCAUCGUAAGCGCAUUUUUCAAAAAACAAAUUCGGUGUUCGGCUCUUGGUGUGUGUGGACUGUAGGUGUAGUAGAUGGUGAGAGGUCGAGGGUUCUAGUUCCAAUUGCAGCAAAACACCAGUUUAUUCCAUGUCACUAUUUAAUUAAAUUGUAAUUAAAAUACACUUUCGCGGGAAGCGUCGGCCAUUCAAUUCCUUACAAUAUUGCCAUGCCAAAAAAUAUUAUUAUUUUUCGGAUUUCGGAUUCGGAUGUGACUAUUAUCAACAAAAUAGAUGGCUAGUUUCAGGUCAAAAUUUGUGGUUUUAAUUAUUACCAGGAUUGAAAUUAAUGAAAAUAAAUUGAAGUGUCGUCGUAUUAUUCUAUGGUUAUACGUAGUAUUAUUUCUAUGUUUCGUUAAAGAAAAACACACCAGAAUGUGAUUCUUUAGAAAGGCGCUUACCAGGUAGGUAUUUACUAUCAUCAUCACUAAUUUAUAUGUAGCAUUCUCCAUGCUGGAAAUUAGGGAAAAAUAGAGCAGUGGUUUUCCUCUUGCCCUCCGUCCCACAGUACUCUGUUUGACGCGAGCGGGAUGGCGCCCAGAGUUGUCUAUUUCCAAGCCGUACUAGGACUCCUGUUCUCCGCUUCUGAAUAGUACUCUCAGAACAUAUAUUUACUAUAAGGUGACGAUAUGCAAAUAGUCAUAUGUCAUAGAAGAAAUGACAGGGUGAUAUGAUUUGUACUCGAAGUGUUGACCAUGGUUGUUGCGUUUCUCAAUAUGAUUGAUUUUAAUAAUAACGAGGUGAACAGUUCCUUUAUCAGCGAAGGUUUCUCGUUUUAAAAAUCGAACAUUCCUUGGCCUUCAUAUUGCUUUCGUGGCUCACAACCCAAAUCCGUGAUGUAACAACGACACACUUUCUGCGAGUUGACCUGCCAUCUUCAGAGAAAGUGACCUACUGCAUCGUGGAGGUCAGUGGCCAACGCAACGUCAUCAGAAUUCGAAACCCAAGGUUAUAAUAUGGUGUGUGUAUUAACUAUACAAUAUUGUAUAAAGGUCAGAAGCCUUGACUGUACUAUUAGUUUUGAAAAUCAAAAAGUUUGUAUUUUUACUGUUUAUGAAAUGAUUAUUUGCAACGUUAACGUCACUCGCUUACUGCACACACGUAUGUUUUCAUAUAACAGAGUUUUAUGUUUAUGAUCUGUCAUAAUAAAUCUAAAUCUGAAUUGAAAUAUCUAAUUCAUUUAAGAAAAACACAGUUAUAGCUCUUAAUAGCCAUAGAUAAAGCACGAAAUUAGUUAAAAUAAUUGUAAUGUACGGAAUAUAAUAAAUUUAAUUCUGACUGCGUGCGAUUGGAACACAUUACACUUCAAAAAUAAUUUAAUUUUCGUAUAACAGCGGUGUCGCCAUAAUGUGCGAUAAUUCACUUCAUUAACACGAUUACACGACAUGUAUUCUCAUUUUGUCACGCAAUCGCCCGUAUGAUAGCCAUGUUUCGCGAUUACGCCUUCACAUUGAAUACGCCCGUUAUCUAAACAAUUUUCCCUCAAACAGGGUGUUAGUGACAUCGUAACCAAUACUGAGGGGAAUGACUCAGACCAUGAUUCUGAAUUAAUAUCAAGUGUAAUUUUCCGUAGGAAAAUUCAUGACGCUUGUGUUUUUUAAUUAAUUACAAUUCUAUACUUUUGCGAUGGAAAAUUCUACUUGAUAUUAACUCAGAAUAAUGAGCUAAAUCAUUCCCCUGAUUUUCGUUACGAUGUCACUUACACCCCGUACUAGUACGUACAGGUACCCAUACAAGUACGUAUCGGUGUUAUGGACACCGUAACGAAUACUGGGGGACGAUUCAGACCAUGAUUCUGAUUGUUUUCAGUUCCAUGCUUUUGCGACGGAAAAUUCCACUUGAUAUCAACUCAGAAUCAUGGCCCGAAUCAUCCCUCAGUUUUGGUUACGAUGUCACUAACACCCUGUAUACUACUGCUUAUGUCUAACUAAUCUGUGACUAAUAAAGUAUACACUUAAACAAAUUACUUACUAUUAUCGCUGAAACUGUCACUUCACGCGAUGACUGUUUAUGUUCACAUUAAAAGAAAACGUUUGUAAAAGAAAAUAAAACGUUUAUUAUAUUUUAAUAAGUUUUUCUUGUGGGAUUGUGCGAUAAAGAGUUUUUGUAUUAUUUUGUAAUAUUUACUGUUGUUCAAUAUUCACUAUUAUUGUCAUGUUUUGAAUUCAAAAGUGACUAGACAGGAAUGGCAUGUCUUCAUGUUUAAACACAUUGCUUGGUAAAUCUAUAAACAUUCUCACACUAAUGUAUUGACGAAAUGUUUUUCUUCGUUGAGCAAUGACCUGGGCAUGCAAAGGUCGUUAUCUUGCAACCUACAAAUUACCGGCAUGUAACUAUUUACAAAUUCUCAAGAUUACUUUAGCACGUCACAAAAGAGAUAGUCCUCCAUAGAUUUUACGCCCCGGUACUCGUGAAAUGUCUUUUAAAUUAAUCAAAUCACGACGCUGAAAAUACGUUAAUAUAAGUACAAUUUCGUACAUCUUUCGCUGCGUUCCUUUUACUCGGUAGAGCACGAAAUGGCCUGGCGAUUGUAUUUGGAGCUUUGUUAUAAAAUGUUGAACAUUAGAGCAGGGCAGAUAACUGUGUCAAGUAUAAAGUCAGCUGCAAUGGCAUUGACGCAGGCCAAUCCGCGUGCGAUUAUCAACUACGGCUGUCUCAACAAAGUGAUAGAUGGCCAUCUUGUAGGCUGCGCCUGCGACGCGGCGACGCGUGCGCCGUCAUUACGUUAUGUUACUCGCGAUACUGUUAUGCAAUCAUUUUAUCAUAACACAAGUAUUUGUCAUCGUCAUCGCAGACGGUAACACUUCUAUUAUCUGAGGUAACAAAUGUGAUAAUGUCUGUUCAUAACUGCUGAUUCCGUUACUUCCUUAAAUGGUAGUGACUUGAUCGUAUGUUUUCAAUGCGUGAUUUUUAUUUUGAAGUCUAGUGUACUUCCAAAGAAGGUAAUAAGACCGAGUGUAGUGUUGGUCGAGGUAUUGUCCAGUUUUUGUCGACUUGGAACUAGUGUACACCAAAUGUAGUGUAAAACACUUCAGUGAAGUCAAGUUACCAUUAGCGGACUCCCGUUAGCGUUAUUUGUUCGUCGUAUUUUUAAAGAUUUUUAUUGUAAAUAAUUUUAUUUUAUUUUUGAUUUGUUUUAUUUUAUGUUUUCCUUUUUUAAUUAAAUUGGCUUGUGAAUUAUGAAAAAGAAACUUCAUAAUUUUAGAUUUAGAGUUCAUUAUAACAUGGAGAGAAAUAAUCUUUAAUAAAUAAUGUAAUAUUUAAUUAUGGUCCUCUAACUAAGAAUAAUGUUAAAAUGCACAGAGGCUAAUAUUUUUUUCUUACAUCGUCAUCGUUUCUGUCAUCUGUGUGGCCGGUUUCGCUUUAUUUUCUUACUUUUAUUAUUUUUUUAUUUAAUUUUUUGUAUACGAAAUGGCAAGAACUUUAUUUCUUCUUUAUACGAAACGCUAUUCCUUCUCUUUGUUUAUCACACUUACAUUAGCAGUAUAAUAAACUAACAACCGUUACCGCUUUGUUAUCUAAAUUACAUUUCCCUGAUAGUUUUAGUAAGAAAUAUAUGAGAAAAAUAAUUAAAAAUACAUUGUUGGCAAUGAGGUUAACAAAACUAUUAUAAUAUUGUAAUACUUUUGUCACGCCAUUUUGUGUUAGUCAUUCGCUUACAUUUGACUUUUAAAAAGUAAAUAUUUGAAUGCAAUAUUAUUUGCUUUCCAAAUAAAAAGUAAUACGGUCAAAUGAAUACCUAUUAUUUUUCUGAAAGUAUGUAAGAUAUUGAUGAAUGACUGAAUUAAUAAACACUUCAUUGCACACACAAACACAGAUCAUGUACAAGAAAAAAACUAGAAGAAAAAAUAUAAUAUAUAUGUCGGAGUUAGACAUGAAUAAAGAAGAGAAAUUGAUCAAAUUAGACACUAUAAUGAAGUUGCAACACUUCCAUCAUGAAGUUGCAACGCUCUGACGUCAGGUGGCGUACGAGCAGAGCGGGGUGAAGUCGGGGGAGUCACUACAGAGUCGUCGUGUCGAGCGGACGUGCACUGCCGUUAUAGUCGGGCAGUCUACCGCGAACCAUCGUCUUGAGCGGACGUGUCGAAUAAUUACGAUCGGAACGUGGAGUGCUAUAGUCGCUCACCUAUAACUUGUAGGGACGUCAAGAAAGUGUGAUCGGAAAAGAGUACCUAGCAAGUACGUUCACAUGUCCCGAUGAUUCGGUCCGAAUAUAGGAACCAUGGGUGGUGGAGGGCAAGUAGAGGGCGAGUAGCCCCUUCGCGCUAACGUCCUUAUGCGCGCUAGAUAACGAGAGACUGUGUAACCAUUACGAAUACCGUGACGUUGCCGUGAGUGUGUAUCUUAUUCUGUGACUUUAUCUAAUCGUGAUACAAGAACUAUGUGGAAGUAAAUAAAAUGAUUGUGAUACUAUUGACGGCCAUUAUUGUCUUCUAACGCCCACCCUCCAUUCUGAUGAUAAUGUUACGCGACACCCACACUGCUACGACAUCAGAAGUGGGAUUAGUGAACUUGGAUGAAGACAACGUGAUGUGACGUUCACAACAAGACAAUGCAAGUUUCGAUUAUCACAAUCAGAAGAAGAUUAUGAUGAUUAUCACAUUCGUGUGACCACGUGAUGAAGAUGUAGUCUACAGCCAUGCCUGAAUUUGGAGAUGGACCUGAAUUUGAAGUGACCUGGACCUUGUUAAUGAUCGACAUCACUACAUGCCGUAAGAUAUGAUGGGGUGAACAUCACAAUAUUUCCGUAAUGUAUGCAGUCGUGUUUGGAAAUUAUGGUACCUCAACUUGGAAACUGUUAUUACGGUGAGUCGUUUUCAUACUGGAACCUUAUUGUUAUUGAUUUCAUUGCUAUGUGAAUGUUCGUUUCUAAUAAUGAGGAAAUUGAUUUUUUAAAAAACAAAAUUGACGAGACAUAUUGUGUCAAUCCGUGUCAAUCAUACCGCGUUUUCCAAUCUGUUUUCAUCAUUGUCAAAUCUUUGUAUUUUGGUUUAAAAAUAUUUCGAAUUGGUGUAGACACGCUUAACCUGCGUGGUUAAAGUUGUAUUUUCUCACUCCAAGCGGGUGGAGGUUAGUCAUGAUAUGAUGUCUUGUUAAAUAACGUGUUUUGUAAUCUACCGUCAUUCAUCAAAUGUUUCAAUAUUCAACAUUCUUUAUUGUAAUCUUUUUAAACUGAUUGAAAGAAAGUCAUGUGAAUACGAUAAUACAGUGAAUUCUUUUGUUUCAUGUCAUAACUUGCCACGUGGUUCGGCAACUGGUGGAUUGCUAGCGGCGAUGUAAGUGGUGCGGGCUGAGCUGUAGCCGUGUAAAGUGACGACAUCAUGGCAGCGAGUUGUAUACCAGCCGGACUUGCUGCGCUGGUGUUGUUGAAGACCUAAACCAUGUCACAAGACCAGUGGUUGAUCUUUUAUUGGAAAUUCUUAUAAGUCCUGGUGAGUCGUAUCUGUUUUACCUGAUUUGAAAUAUGGGAAGUUUUAAUAGGAUACAAACGAAUAUAGUGGUCGGGGUGUCGCAAAAAGGGUCCCAUACAAAAUUAGGACUUAGAAAAUUGAAAAGAAAGUUCUCUUUUGUUAACUUUAGUUAAAUUGGAAAUCGUAAUGAAGUGAAGUAAACAUUCUGAAGUAAAAUCAUUUGGAUUAUGAUUACUUAAAUGAAAUAGGCUUAGAAAAUGCCCGAAACAGUAAAUCAUUAGUGAGAAAAUUGGAGCAAAACAUUCUAAAUAAUGAUAAUACCGAAUUGGUAAUUGUUUAAGUGCGGUAAUAUUUCCUCGAGGUGUUGGUCGCUACAUUGUGACUUUAUGACUUGUGUGUGUGAGAGCAGGGUGCUCUGUCGUUUUGUGGUCGUGGACCAUGGUGGCCAUCCCGGGAGGGGAUGUUGUGACUCAUGACUGUUUUGUAGCGUAACCGCAGUUUGGGGAGGAAUAUUACAGUCUGUUGUGCUUUGCAGUAGAUGUGUAAUGUUGGUUGAUUUAAUUGAGUAAUGAAAGCUAUGAUUGACCUGUUUCGGAGCAACUCUGAUAGGAAGCUGUGCACUUGUAGUGUUCGGGGCUGCAGCCACUUUUGUGCUGCUCGUCUUAGAAACUACAGGUAUGCGGUCGAGGCCUGGAUGUCAUGUUGACUUUGUAUUUGGUCAUGACAUUGUACCUGAAUCUAAGUCAAGUUGACCUCCGGUAGAAUUAGUCGAACUGCACAAAUUAGAAAUUGGUGAUGUAAAAGAAAUUUUGUAACCCAUUGACCACUAUUCUACCAACUAAGAUGUAAAGUUUGUGUGCUAGCUGUGUUGAGAUAUCGUCACUUGGUGUAAGUGGCAUGAGUUGCUGUCGCUCGAUUUAGGUGGCAGUGACGACUGUGUUGGGAUAUCGUCACUUGGUGUAAGUGGCAUGAGUUGCUGUCGCUCGAUUUAGGUGGCAGCAACGACUGUGUUGAGAUAUCGUCACUUGGUGUAAGUGGCAUGAGUUGCUGUCGCUCGGUUUAGGUGGCAGCAACGACUGUGUUGAGAUAUCGUCACUUGGUGUAAGUGGCAUGAGUUGCUACCGCUCGAUUUAGGUGGUAGUGACGCCUGGUUGUGAGAUAUCGUCACUUGGUGUAAGUGGCAUGAGUUGCUACCGCUCGAUUUAGGUGGUAGUGACGCCUGGUUGUGAGAUAUCGUCACUCAGUAGAGUGGCAUGAGUUGCUACCGCUCGAUUUAGGUGGUAGUGACGCCUGGUUUUGAGAUAUCGUCGCUCAGUAGAGUGGCAUGAGUUACUAUCGCUCGUUUAGGUGAUAGUAACGACCGAUGUGUAAAGAGUAAUUGGAUUUUCAAGUUUGGUUGUUUAUAGUGUGUGAAUACUGGUCAAUGGUCCGUGUAUUGUUAGUUGAUGAUUUAUCAUGAUGUAAUGUGAGCUCAUGUAGAGUCACAAGUAGAGCUCGUGUAGAGUCACAAGUAGAGCUCGUGUAGAGUCACAAGUAGAGCUCGUGUAGAGUCACAAGUAGAGCUCGUGUAGAGUCACAAGUAGAGCUCGUGUAGAGUCACAAGUAGAGCUCGUGUAGAGUCACAAGUAGAGCUCGUGUAGAGUCACAAGUAGAGCUCGUGUAGAGUCACAAGUAGAGCUCAUGUAGAGUCCUUUAUAGAGUCUCAUGUUAGGUCAGAAAUGACCGAGCGAACUUGGAUACUGUGCUGUGGUAUAUUGUUUCAGAUUAACACACGAGGACGUGUGUCACGCAGGAUGGCCGUGUCGGAGUUAGACAUGAAUAAAGAAGAGAAAUUGAUCAAAUUAGACACUAUAAUGAAGUUGCAACACUUCCAUCAUGAAGUUGCAACGCUCUGACGUCAGGUGGCGUACGAGCAGAGCGGGGUGAAGUCGGGGGAGUCACUACAGAGUCGUCGUGUCGAGCGGACGUGCACUGCCGUUAUAGUCGGGCAGUCUACCGCGAACCAUCGUCUUGAGCGGACGUGUCGAAUAAUUACGAUCGGAACGUGGAGUGCUAUAGUCGCUCACCUAUAACUUGUAGGGACGUCAAGAAAGUGUGAUCGGAAAAGAGUACCUAGCAAGUACGUUCACAUGUCCCGAUGAUUCGGUCCGAAUAUAGGAACCAUGGGUGGUGGAGGGCAAGUAGAGGGCGAGUAGCCCCUUCGCGCUAACGUCCUUAUGCGCGCUAGAUAACGAGAGACUGUGUAACCAUUACGAAUACCGUGACGUUGCCGUGAGUGUGUAUCUUAUUCUGUGACUUUAUCUAAUCGUGAUACAAGAACUAUGUGGAAGUAAAUAAAAUGAUUGUGAUACUA